rnacentral:snoRNA from 1 species
AUGUCAAGAUUUGGACACUUUCUAAAGCAGUCCUUGAACCUCUUUCAUGCUUAUUGAUAGCUCUCGAGGUCAUUCUGCUUGAAAAUGUGAAUUUUGAUUUUUGAUAU